UACGUAGGUGGCAAGCGUUGUCCGGAUUUACUGGGCGUAAAGAGCGCGCAGGCGGUCAGAUAAGUCGAAUGUGAAAGCCCCCGGCUCAACUGGGGAGGGUCAUUCGAUACUGUUCGACUCGAAGGCAGGAGAGGGAAGUGGAAUUCCCGGUGUAGUGGUGAAAUGCGUAGAUAUCGGGAGGAAGGCCGGUGGCGAAGGCGGCAUCCUGGACCGGCAUUGACGCUGAGGCGCGAAAGCCAGGGGAGCAAAGCGGGG
rnacentral:rRNA from 1 species